rnacentral:rRNA from 1 species
CACGUAGGGACCGAGCGUUGUCCGGAUUUAUUGGGCGUAAAGAGCUCGUAGGCGGUUCAGCAAGUCGGGUGUGAAAACUCUGGGCUCAACCCAGAGAUGCCACCCGAUACUGCUGUGACUAGAGUCCGGUAGGGGAGUGGGGAAUUCCUGGUGUAGCGGUGAAAUGCGCAGAUAUCAGGAGGAACACCGGUGGCGAAGGCGGCUCUCUGGGACGGUACUGACGCUGAGACGCGAAAGCGUGGGGAGCGAACAGG